UACGGAGGGUGCGAGCGUUGUCCGGAAUCACUGGGCGUAAAGGGCGCGUAGGCGGCGUCGGUAGUCCGUGGUGAAAGCUCGUGGCUCAACUGCGAGUCGGCCAUGGAUACUCCGAGUGCUUGAGCACUGUAGAGGCAGGUGGAAUUCCGGGUGUAGCGGUGGAAUGCGUAGAGAUCCGGAAGAACACCGGUGGCGAAGGCGGCCUGCUGG
rnacentral:rRNA from 1 species